rnacentral:rRNA from 1 species
CGGGGGGAGCAAGCGUUGUUCGGAUUUACUGGGCGUAAAGGGCGCGUAGGCGGCGCAACAAGUCACUUGUGAAAUCUCCGGGCUUAACCCGGAGCGGCCAAGUGAUACUGUCGUGCUAGAGUGCGGAAGGGACUACUGGAAUUCUCGGUGUAGCGGUGAAAUGCGUAGAUAUCGAGAGGAACACCUGCGGCGAAGGCGGGUAGCUGGGCCGACACUGACGCUGAGGCGCGAAAGCCAGGGGAGCGAACGGGAUUAGAUACCCCGGUAGUCCUGGCCUUAAACGAUGGAUGCUUGGUGUCCGGGGUUACAUAGUCCCCGGGUGCCGGCGCUAACGCAUUAGGCAUCCCGCCUGGGGAGUACGGUCGCAAGACUG